rnacentral:rRNA from 1 species
UACGGGGGGGCGAAGCGUUGUUCGGAAUUACUGGGCGUAAAGGGCGCGUAGGCGGCGCGGUAAGUCACUUGUGGAAAUCUCUGAGCUUAACUCAGAACGGCCAAGUGAUACUGCAGUGCUAGAGUGUGGAAGGGCAAUCGGAAUUCUUGGUGUAGCGGUGAAAUGCGUAGAUAUCAAAGAGGAACACCUGAGGUGAAGACGGGUUGCUGGGCCAACACUGACGCUGAUGACGCGAAAGCCAGGGGAGCAAACGGG